rnacentral:rRNA from 1 species
AUUGAACGCUGGCGGCAGGCCUAACACAUGCAAGUCGAACGAGUGGCGGACGGGUGAGUAAUGUAUGGGAAACUGCCCGAUGGAGGGGGAUACCUACUGGAAACGGUAGCUAAUACCGCAUACCAUCGGAUGUGCCCAGAUGGGAUUAGCUUGUGGGUGGGGUAACGGCUCACCCAGGCGACGAUCCCUAGCUGGUCUGAGGGGAGGACCGGCCACACGGGAACGGGGACACGGUCCAGACUCCUACGGGAGGAAGCAGUGGGGAAUAUUGCACAAUGGGCGCAAGCCGGAUGCAGCCAUGCCGCGGGUAGGAAGAAGUCCUUCGGGUUGUAAAGUACUUUCAGCGAGGAGGCGGUACCCAAAGAAGAAGCACCGGCUAACUCCGUGCCAGCAGCCGCGGUAAUAC